rnacentral:ncRNA from 1 species
CGUGUGGUGUCUGGCGGAACAAGGCUGGAUAGCGACGCGGCCUUAAACAGAGGU